rnacentral:snoRNA from 1 species
AUGAGGAGCCGAUGGCUGGCGCAACUCAUGGCGUUAAAGCUUGGCGGGUUCUGA